rnacentral:lncRNA from 1 species
CAAGAAAACCUUAAGGAAAUUUCGUAUUAUAGCCUUUUAAUAUUUCAACAGAUUGUUGAAAAUGAAUUGCCUUCAGAAAUGGAAGACAGUUAUUGCAAUGAUAAUUGUUGAAUUUGGUUUUGCGCUGAAAUGCACUUCUCAAGAAAGUCCUCAACGGAGGAAUGGACCAAUUGGUGGCAUCAACAUAUAGGCUUGCAGUUUGUGCUAUGACCCCUUUCUCACCAAGGCACCUUGAGUUCGAUACCUUUUCAGACAUUUUCAAUUACAAAACUAGCAAUUUAACAUUUUUACACACAUAAUCUCAUAGCUCUUCUGAUUAUUUGCUUCCAAUUUGAUUUUACAAGACUAUUAAUUUCUUCUUGUUUUCCUAAAACUAGUAUGUUCUAAUUUAAUUUUCAGCCUCAUCCCAAUGUGUUUAUGUUACAGCUUCUACAAUCCUGUCUACUUUGCAAUCUAUGCUAAGUGUUUAUGUUGUUCUCUUUGCAUCUGUUUCUACCGUACCCUAUUACCUUCUAUGUGUUUGAGUUAAAGUUCAGGACAUGGAAACAUCAAAAUUGUUGCUCAUGUCUAGACUUGAUCUUUUAAGGGAUCUUAACUUCCAAACAAUAUGGCUGACAGGCUGGUUGGGGUGUGCCAUCAACUCCAUGGGUAUGACCACCAGCCUAUCCCUGCUCUCCCCAGAAUCCUCUCUUUGCACUUACACUCUCUCCUAGCUUCUAAGUUCUGCCCCCCCUCUUAUGAGCCAUGCUUUGCGACCUUGAGUUCCCUCUGAACCUGGACACUUGAGGGAUGACUCUUCCACGCUACACUAUGAAUCAAUUCUACAAUAUAUUUGGGUGUGAGCACUGACCGACGUCCAUUUGAGACUCUUAGGAAACUCUAAUACAUCCCGAAUAAGAGAAAGACUUUGGAAUGUGAUCUUUGGAGAUUGGUUUAUUUCAUGUUUCAGACAGGAAGUCUGAAUCAGGCUCUUCUUGGUUAUAAUCUUAGUCCUCUUGAUAUAAUUUUACUUUCCUUAUUCAUUCUGGGCUGCAAUAAUAACUUGUAAUAACUACUGGGGUUGUUAGUGAAAAGGGGAGGGUAACUCAUGCAUGCAAAGGGUAGAUAUUAUGUUCAUAGGAAAUAUAUACACUUCUAUACUCAUGUAUCAAGUUCUUAGCUUCUGGAUUUUUGCAUAUCACAUAGGGAUCCUGUCUAUAGACUUCUGCAUUUUUUGCAUCUCAUAAAGGCACCAUGUUUAUAGGCUUCUGUACUUCUGGAUUUUUGCAUCUCAUAUAAGGAUCCUGUCUAUAGGCUUUUGCAUUUUUUUGCAUCUCAUAUAGGACCAUGUCUAUAGGCUUCUGUACUUCUGCAUUAUAGAGACCAUGUCUAUGGGAUUUUCUGAAUUCUUGCACUUGCAUCCAUCACUAGGCAAACCUGCUCAUAGGUUUAAAUAAUAAACACCAUGCUAGAUGUUACGCCUAUAUGACUUUUUUUGCAUCUGCAUCUAUAACUAGGCAAGCUUGUUCAUAGGUUUAAAUAAUAAACAACAUGCUAGAUAUUAUGCCUAUAGGACUUCCUGAAUUUUUGCAUCUACACCUAUCACUAGGUAAACCUGCGCGUAGGCUUAAAUAACAAAUAACAUUCUAGAUACCAUUCAUGUAUGACUUCUGCACUCUUAUUUCAGCUAUAAAAGUGUAUAAAAUGAAAACGCCGAGAAAGCAUGCCUAUAAGAGCAACCAAUAAAAUCAGAAUCAUUCAUUCGCUUAUAAGUCUAAAAAUUAGUAGUAACUAUAAUGACUGCAAAAUUUAUAUUCCUGUAAUUGACAAUUUCUUCUUUUUCUGAAACUAAUAGAUAUCAUGCCAAAAGUUUCUCAUUUGAUACCUAGGCAAGCCAUAAGAUAACUUGUAAACUGAAUCAAAUUCUAUCAAUUCCAACCAGCAGGCAGGACUGACUCGGGUUUCUUAUCCGAAAUAUGUAAUGGAUCAGUCUGCCACAAUCUUUAAGUUUGAUUAAUACCAUAACAAGUAUGUGCAAAAUAUGCUAAAGAAUCUAUCUUUUAGUUGAGGAGGCCUGUUUGAGCCUUUAAUUGCUAUGUAUUUCCCCAUACCUGCUCUAUGUGUUUUUGAAUAUCGCGCUGGAGUUUUAUCCUUUUAAAACCACAAAAGGCCCAAAUCUCCCUUACCUUUAGGAAUAGUAAUCUCAAAUGCCUCCGGGGCUGGUAGGAUUGGGGAAGGGUAAUAGCAUGCAAUAAGUAAAACGAUAUCAUUCCGCGUUUAAUACCUUAAUGGGGUAGGAAAUGGUGCAUAUUGAUAUGAUGACCAUGCAAUAACACCACAUGUAUAAACGAUUACCGGGUGUUGUAU